rnacentral:rRNA from 1 species
UACGGAGGGGGCAAGCGUUGUCCGGAAUCAUUGGGCGUAAAGAGCGUGUAGGCGGCCAGAUAAGUCCGCUGUGAAAUCUCGAGGCUCAACUUCGAGCUGUCGGUGGAAACUGUCUGGCUAGAGUCCGGAAGAGGAGAAUGGAAUUCCUGGUGUAGCGGUGAAAUGCGCAGAUAUCAGGAAGAACACCCGUGGCGAAGGCGGUUCUCUGGGACGGUACUGACGCUGAGACGCGAAAGCGUGGGGGAGCGAACAGG